ACUACCCCUAGAGGCAUUGCAUGUAUGGCUAAUGUGUCACAUGCAUGUCUGUAGGUGGCAGAGAAGAGAGAGGUCAUGUCUGUGCAAAGUGUUCUGACAUGUGAAUAUCUGAAUGAUCAAUUGCCUAACACU